rnacentral:lncRNA from 1 species
UUUUUUUUUUUUUUUUUUCUUGCCAGAAUUUUAGUAUUGGUUUGCUAGGACUACCAUAAGAAGUACCACAGCUUGAGUGGCUUAAACAACAGAAAUUUAUUUUCAAUUCUGGAGACUAGAAGUCUGGCUAGAAGAUGACAAUAUUAGUAGGAUUGGCUUCUUCUACGGUCUCUCUUCUUGGCUCGUAGAUGGUUGUGUUCUGGUGUCUUCACAUGAUGCUCUCCCUGGUAGGACUGUAUCCUAAUAUUCUCUUCUGGUAAGGACACCAGUCAUAUCAGAUUCGGGCCCACCUUAAUGAUCUCAUUAAAAUUUAAUGAACACUGUAAAAAUCCUGUCUCAAGGGAUCCCUGGGUGGCUCAGCAGUUUAGCGCCACCUUUGGCCCAGGGCCCGAUUCUGGAGUCCCGGGAUCAAGUCCCACAUCCGGCUCCUGGCAUAGAGCUUGCUUCUCCCUCCUCCUGUGUCUCUGCCUCUCUCUCUCACUCUCUCUCUCUCUAUCAUAAAUAAAUAAAUAAAUAAAUAAAUAAAUAAAUAAAUAAAUAAAUCAAUCUUAAAAAAAUCCUGUCUCCAAAUAUAAUCACAUUCUAAGAUAUGGGGUUUAGGACUUCAUCAUAUUAAAUUUGGGGGACCCAAUUCAGUACCUAAUAAUGGAAUUAUAUAAUAAUAAAGUGUUUCUUAGUAUGAUGCACAUUACUUGUAGAUAUUCUUUAUGAUUAAAUUAGCAGAACUAUAUAUAAUUUCCAUGUUAACUUUUAGAGUUGACUUUUUGGCGUAUUUUAAAUGAUGUAACCAUGUGUUUAGCUUUUCAGGGUUAACGUCAGGAGCAAGUGCUAAACUUAUUUUUGGUGGACCUGAUUUGUAGAGGGAGAAACCUCACACAAUUAUAUCAAGCAGGAUUGCUUUCACAACGGAUAUUUUCUAAACAGAAUUUAGAGGUCUUUCACAUUUUGUGAAUGUUCUUCUGUUCAGAAUUUCCCAUGAGUCUAGCGAAUGACGUAGGAAAAGCAGGGUCACUUAAGAAAGAGCCAUGGAAAGCUGGGCUGGGAGUGAGAACAAUUAGAUGGGACUCUAGGAGCUGCGACCACAUAGAGAGACGGACAUAGCUACAAGGUCAUACUGGAUGGUGACCAGAGGGUGGCCAUAGUGGAUGGGGAAGGAGUUGGUGGAAGAUCUCCCUAAGAUCACAGAUAUGUCUUUAGAAAAGACGGCCAACCCAUCCUGGUGAGCAGUGUCUCUGGGGACCUGAAGAGUGAAUGAGGUUUGUUGCAUAAGAAAAACUAGAACCUACUUAUUUGGGUGAGUGAUGGGUAAUGUCUGAUAAAAACCCAUAUAAAUGUGUCUGUAUAAACUAUCUACUCGACACUGCUUUGUUAGAUUCAGUUCAGUAUGAAAUUAUGAUAUCAUUUAUAUAUUGUUUUUACCACCAGCUCCUAAAAAAAUGUAAGAUUUCGUACUAUUAAGUCAAUCCACAAGGCUUAUUCGGAAGCUUCUAAAUACCUGCAGAAGAAUUAAACUUCUCUUUAGGAUAAACCUUCAGAGCGUAUAGGAGGUGUAUGGAUCUGCUGAUUACAGCACUCCUUUAUGUGGUAAGCAGCUCACCUUGUGUUCAUAGCUCAAUGGGAUUAAAAAUACUUACAUUUUCUUAAUCACUGUUGAUUCAAAUAAUCAAUAAUCUUAUGCUAC